rnacentral:rRNA from 1 species
AGCAACGCCGCGUGGGGNAAGAAGGCCUUCGGGUUGUAAACCCCUUUCAGUUGGGACGAAGCCUCAGCGGUGAACAGCCGUUUGGGGUGACGGUACCUUCAGAAGAAGCCCCGGCUAACUACGUGCCAGCAGCCGCGGUAAUACGUAGGGGGCAAGCGUUGUCCGGAAUCAUURGGCGUAAAGAGCGCGUAGGCGGUCCG